CAGUAGCGUAUAUUAAAGUUGUUGCAGUUAAAAAGCUCGUAGUUGGACUUCUGGUUUGGUGCGCUCGGCCCGCUCCCUUUAGGGAUGUGAGUGUUGACGCGCGCCUUCCAUCUUUGUACAGGACCUCUCUGCCCUUCAUUGGGACUGGAUUGGCGAUGUGCAUCUUUUACUUUGAAAAAUUAAGAGUGUUUAAAGCAGGCUUGUGCUAUGAAUACAUUAGCAUGGAAUAAUAACUUAGGACUUGGUUCGUUAUUUUGUUUGGUUUUCGUUAGGUACCGGAACGUAAUAGAUUGUAUAGGGAGUAGUUGGGGGUGGGCGUAGUAUUCUAGCGGCCGACGAGGUGGAAAUUAC
rnacentral:rRNA from 1 species